AUGGAUGUGGAAACAAGCGAGUCGACACCAAGUCCUGGAUUAGGUGACCUAGAGUCAGAAGAACCCAGAAUAAAUUUCAAAGAAUCAGGAGCAGCAGCGGGAUCAGUAGUAUCUACUACCAGCUCAAUGGGGGUCGCAAUCAAUUUCUGGACCAUCUUCUCCCUGGUCAACCCUACUUCUUACUUCGGAGCAGCAUUACGAUGGAGUGGACGAUAGUCAUCAGUGAGUCUGAUCUGUUUACCUCAUAUU
rnacentral:lncRNA from 1 species